ACGUAGGAUGCAAGCGUUAUCCGGAAUUAUUGGGCGUAAAGCGUACGUAGGCGGUUUACCAAGUCUGGAGUUAAAGACCGAGGCUCAACCUCGGGAGUGCUCUGGAAACUGGUAGGCUGGAGGGCGGCAGAGGAGCGUGGAAUUCCGGGUGGAGUGGUGAAAUGCGUAGAGAUCCGGAGGAACACCAGAGGCGAAAGCGGGGCUCUGGGCCGCACCUGACGCUGAACUGCGAAAGCCAGGGUAGCGAACGGGA
rnacentral:rRNA from 1 species